UUUCCGGUUGAUCCUGCCGCCGGCCACCGCUAUCAAGUUCCGACUAAGCCAUGCGAGUCAAGGUAUCGUAAGAUGCCGGCAAACUGCUCAGUAACACGUGGAUAAUCUAACCUUGAGUAAGGGAUAACCUCGGGAAACUGAGGAUAAUACCUUAUAAUUGCUUAAAACUGGAAUGUUUAAGCAAUAAAAGUUCCGACGCUCAAGGAUGAGUCUGCGACCUAUCAGGUAGUAGGUGGUGUAAUGGACCACCUAGCCUCAGACGGGUACGGGCCCUGGGAGGGGUAGCCCGGAGAUGGACUCUGAGACAUCAGUCCAGGCCCUACGGGGCGCAGCAGGCGCGAACACUGUGCAAUGCGCGAAAGCGCGACACGGGGAGCUUGAGUGUCUUGGCAUAGCCAAGACUUUUCUCAUUCCUAAAAAGCAUGAGGAAUAAGUGCUGGGUAAGACGGGUGCCAGCCGCCGCGGUAACACCCGCAGCACAAGUGGUGGUCACUUUUAUUGAGCCUAAAGCGUUCGUAGCCGGUUUUGUAAAUCUUUAGAUAAAGCCUGAAGCUUAACUCCAGAAAGUCUGAAGAGACUGCAAGACUUGAGAUCGGGUGAGGUUAAACGUACUUUCAGGGUAGGGGUAAAAUCCUGUAAUCCCGGAAGGACGACCAGUGGCGAAAGCGUUUAACUAGAACGAAUCUGACGGUAAGGAACGAAGGCUAGGGUAGCAAACCGGAUUAGAUACCCGGGUAGUCCUAGCUGUAAACACUGCCCAUUUGAUGUUGCUUUUCCGUUGAGGGAAGGCAGUGUCGGAGCGAAGGUGUUAAAUGGGCCGCUUGGGAAGUAUGGUCGCAAGACUGAAACUUAAAGGAAUUGGCGGAGGAGCACCGCAACGGGAGGAAUGUGCGGUUUAAUUGGAUUCAACGCCGGA
rnacentral:rRNA from 1 species